rnacentral:rRNA from 2 species
GCCUACGGUCAUAUCAAUGCGAAUAUACGAUUUCCCGUCUGAUCAAUCAUAGUCAAACGCGUUAGAGCCACAUUCAGUAUUACGGUGGGAGACCACGUGAGAACGGGUGGUACUGAAGGU